GCCGUGGCUCUGUGGCGGAGCAUCUGCCUGGCAUGCAGAAGGUCCCAGGUUCAAGCCCUGGCAUCUACA
rnacentral:tRNA from 1 species